rnacentral:rRNA from 1 species
CGUGCAGGCGGUCCGGUAAGUUGGAUGUGAAAUCUCCUGGCUCAACUGGGAGAGGACGUUCAAUACUGUCGGACUCGAGGACGGUAGAGGGAGGUGGAAUUCCCGGUGUAGUGGUGAAAUGCGUAGAUAUCGGGAGGAACACCAGUGGCGAAGGCGGCCUCCUGGACCGUUCCUGACGCUCAGACGCGAAAGCUAGGGGAGCGAACG